rnacentral:rRNA from 1 species
UACGUAGGGGGCUAGCGUUGUCCGGAAUCAUUGGGCGUAAAGAGCGUGUAGGCGGUCCGGUAAGUCCGCUGUGAAAGUCGGGGGCUCAACCCUCGAAUGCCGGUGGAUACUGUCGGGCUAGAGUGCGGAAGAGGCGGGUGGAAUUCCUGGUGUAGCGGUGAAAUGCGCAGAUAUCAGGAGGAACACCUAUUGCGAAGGCAGCUCGCUGGGACGUAACUGACGCUGAGACGCGAAAGCGUGGGGAGCAAACAGG